CCUUUGGAACUGUGUUUAAUCUUAAAGGCACCAGAUCCUGUUUGAUCUUGGAAGCUAAGCAGGGUCAUUCUUGGUUAGUACUUGGAAAGGAGACUGCAAAUGAAUACUAGAUGCUGGAGGC
rnacentral:rRNA from 1 species